GUCCACGCCCUAAACUAUGUCAACUGGUUGUCGGAGGAUUAACUCCUUUGGUAACGAAGCUAACGCGUGAAGUUGACCGCCUGGGGAGUACGGCCGCAAGGUUAAAACUCAAAGGAAUUGACGGGGACCCGCACAAGCGGUGGAUUAUGUGGAUUAAUUCGAUGCAACGCGAAAAACCUUACCUACCCUUGACAUGUCAGGAACGCCGCAGAGAUGUGGCGGUGCCCGAAAGGGAACCUGAACACAGGUGCUGCAUGGCUGUCGU
rnacentral:rRNA from 1 species